UCCAGUUACAACCCCUUCGUCCAUUUCUUUAAAUUUUUAUUUUUUGGCCGGGCCGGCCGGUGCUUGGAUUUCGAGGAGGACUGAUUUCUUUGAAGGACAGGAGAAUCUUUACUUUUUAGACUUUUAUCAUCUUUUAAAUAGAAAAGGCAUUGAUUAUUUAAUUCACAAAAAAUUAAAUGAUAUUACGAGAAAAAAUAAA